AGGCGACGCACGGAAAACAGCAGGGGAACUACGCGCAAUGUUCGGUAAACGGUGACGUUGGCGCAAUGGUCAGCACAACACCUAAACCUCUUACGUAAUAUUCUCAAACCUGAUCAAUAGAGUCACGCCACGCUGAGUAAGUGAUAGUUACGAAAGGGAUUAGUAAAGGCAGCAAUUACGUUCAAUAGUAAUUUUUUUUUACUAUUUACUAAUUAUUGAGCCAACAAGCAACUGGAGCGCUAACCCAUGAUCGUGUUGUGACGCUGACAACUGAGCUAAUCGAACUAACAAAUAGUUAUGCUGUUAAUCAAUGCUUCUGUUGCGCUAACAACUAACCAUAACUAAUUAAGUAAUUACUACGCAACCACGUUACCAAUCCACCUUCACGAUAACAAUUUACUAAGUAAACGCUAGCUAAUGGAUUAGCGAGCAAUACUAAUGAUAUUAUGGAGCAACCUCACGCGCUUCUGAAGUGUCGUUGGGUGCUUGGCGCUGCUGCUGUUGAUGGUUGAUUCGAAAAACAAACAUUUGUUUUGUUAUUGGCACCGAGAUGUUUUUAUCUUCAAGUUGAGGAAAGGUACGUAUAGCGCUGCAGCCGCUAGCAGUGGCCCGGCCAGUUCGGCUCUUAUUAUUAUUAUUAUUACUGUUAUCACCGGUUCACAUGCUACUAACGACGAGACGAAAUGACAGGAGUUCCAUUUCGUAGUAGACAGAUUACCAACUUCGUUCUUAUUAAACCUAUUCAUUAUUCUCACUAUCUCUUCUAAAUCAUUCGUGCCCGCUCUGUAUAGUGCAAACUGUGUUUAAUCAAAUACUGAAAUUGACGUUACAAAUUACGUGUCUGAUUGGUGUUGGCUGUCGUUAAACUGCGUUGGUGCUAUUUGGUCUUUACUGCCACAUAUCAAUGCCCCCUAACUAGUUAUGUGGUUGCCCCUGCCAGUUAGCUGACUAGAUAUUGUUUUCGUCGGUAGCCGGUCAACCCCGUUGUUACCCGGGCGCCCCGUACACACAGUGUUUCGCAGCUUUUUGCUGCCGUUCGUGUCGGCGUUUCCUCCUGAUCUUAUGCACAUUGAGAGACACAGAGACACGAUAUAAACGACAGGAAGAUACCUCUGCACACGGUUAGACUAACAAAUACGUACACUCAGCAGCGCACGGGUAGAUACACAUGCCUCGUCCACUCUUCCCAUUAUUAUUAUUGAUGUGUGAGAGAGUGAGCUUCUAUUUUUGUUUUGGGCCAGCACAAAGUUGUUUUGCAGCUUCUAAACAUUUAACAAAUUCAAAUCUCUAACAAGAUAGUCAGUUCUAUGAAGAGCCUUAUUCACUUGAGUGCGCGGGCAACAUCGAUAAAAGAUCACACCAGUAACAUCGUUAUCAUGAAAUCUAACCGCUGUGAGUUCACUGCAAAGCUAUACUCCAUGUCGAAUUUGAAUUUGGCGGGUCAACCGCCUCGCCUUGAAGCUUCUAUUGCGGGCGCCGACUCCCCCUUCGUUGUCCAACAACAUUGGGUGCGUGUGAGCUGUGCUGUGUGCGAACCGACAAAACAUAGACAGUGAGAGGCACCACCAACACAGUGCUGAGUUGUUUACAAACUUUGUGCGGCCUAAAUCCCGAGCAAGUUGGACGGUUUUGGCGUUUCGAGGGCGCCAUCCGAGAUUGGCCCGACUGUUAGUCCGUGUGUGCAACCCCGGCCGAGCGCCCCAGGGCCGGCGAUCGGCCAGCGGCCCCAGAAUGAGUGGCCAGAACAGGGACAGGGCGGCGAGCAGCCCAAUCGCCAGGCUCCAAGGGCGCGAGUUCGAGUAUUUUGUGCGGCAAAAGCUCAUCGCCAUCGGACGCAACUCUUCCCACGGUGAAGUCGACGUACCCAUGGGCAACUCUUCGUUCAUCUCGAGACGCCACCUCGAGAUCUUCAACGAGGGCAACGAAUUCUAUAUGAUCUGCAAUGGCAAAAACGGUGUGUUUGUUGACGGGGUGUUUCAACGGAAGGGUGCAUCGCCGUUGAAGCUUCCGAAGAAAUGCGUAUUCCGUUUCCCGUCGACGAGUAUCAAAAUCAUGUUCCAGUCGCUAUUCGAAGGCUCAUCUGGUGGCGCAACAACCGUACACGGGUCCCCCGCGGCUACGAGUAGCGCUGGCGAUCAUCAUAUUGGCACCGUAGCGACAGCCGCUGCUAACGCCACGGGCUUAGCAGGGGCAGCGGUACACACAACAGUUGGCGGUGACGUGCAGAUGGCUGAGGUGGCGGCCGAACAGAUCAUUCAGACAGUGGUAACCGAGCCCGUGGUAGAGGAAAGUGGUAAUAAUGUUAUAGCUGUAUCAAAUCAUCCUGAUGAGGACAUCAAACCGUUGCGGAUUUCGAUUCCGGAUGGUCACUCGCCGUGUCCCUCGCCAACCGGAACGAUUUCGGCGGCGAACUCUUGUCCCACAUCGCCUCGUUCCGGUAGUUUGAUGGGCUCAGUACACUCGGUCCAUACAAUUCAUCCGCAUCCAUACCGGCCCUCAGCAAGCGGUGGAGGCAUUGUGGUUGGGAGCCUUGUCCAACGCGUCGUACAGUGUACGCCGCCUGUAGAACGUGUGGUCACGGCGGCUGCCCUACCGUCAGCGGUGCCUGCUGGGCCAAAUGAUGACCAGAAACCGCCAUACAGUUAUGCGCAAUUGAUCGUUCAAGCUAUCUCGUCGGCACCGGACAAACAGCUUACGCUAAGUGGAAUCUACUCGUACAUCACUAAGCACUAUCCGUACUAUCGCACAGCAGAUAAGGGCUGGCAGAACUCGAUACGGCAUAAUCUUUCGCUGAACAGGUACUUCAUGAAGGUAGCGCGUUCACAGGAAGAGCCUGGUAAGGGGUCCUUUUGGCGGAUCGACCCGUCAUCACAGGAGAAGCUCGUUGAUCAGGCCUUUCGACGAAGGCGACAACGGGGUUUGCCGUGUUUCCGUCCUCCGCCGUACAAUGCCGCACGCUCGGCGCCGCCCUCGCCGGGUCAUGCCGGCCAGGUUGGUAACGUGAUCAACGUCGUGACCGAAACUCAAUCGAGCGUCAGCCGAGAGCCUUCGCCUAGUCUACACACGAUGGACAUGCUUGGCGUUCAGAACGAGUACGUCAUCGAAGAGGGCCAGGUAGUUGAGCAAGACGUGAGCAUGGAGCACGUCGAGCAUGUUGAGCACGUCGAAACGAGCUCACACGGGACCCAUACGCAUAUCGCGUUGCCGCAGCACAUCUACACGAAUGGAAAGAUGUACGUUACGGCGACUACAACUGCUGGCGGACAACAGCAGAUUGUCAGCGUGAACGGCGGCAUCAAGGGUGUGGGAGGAGCUGUUGUCCAGGAAGCUGUUCUGCUGUCACCAACUUCCGCGGCGGCUGCGCAACUCCAACGGGAAUACCAUAUGCUACCUAGCGGAGAUGGAGAUGGGGGUGCGGAAGCUGGAGGCAGCUACGUUGAGGAGGUGACCACCGAACUAAUCCAUGAAGGUGAACAGGUUGAGGUGGUCGGCGUGGGCGGUGAAGGUGUUGAGGUUGUUGCUGGCGAGGAGCAAAUCAUCUACCAGGACGCUGAUGGGCAAACCAUUGAGACUGUGGAGAUCAGUCAGGACAACACUUAUCACAUAGCUGAUGACGGACAGGGGAAGUUCGGCAUUGUUUCCAACGUCGAGUCGUUGCAGUACGGCUAUUUCCGCGGCUAAAUAAAACACAACAACCAUUUGAGACGAUUGUCACAAGUGGCAACGAAAAAUUGCUAAGUCGAAGCUGAAGCAGCUGUACAAGUCACCGUUAUACGCAAGUUGAACGAGCAUUUUGAGUUGAACGAAAAUCUCAUCUGAUUUCUAUGGCUAACUGAUCCUGGCAAAGGCGUCAGACUAGCGACUACAAAUGAGUUUCGGUGACGGUAACGAUAACGAGGUUGGUGACGAGAAACGAAAGGGUAAGGAUGUGAACUACUUCAACUACGCGGAAUUCGAUAGGCGUCGACAUUGGCGACAAAAACGGCUUUUGCCUGAGGGAAGAAAAAAGAGGCCCAAAGGCACUACCCUACUACCGUUCGUUGACAUCAACAUUGACCGCUGGUUGAUAACAUAGCAACAACAACAACAACAUCAAUAAUAACAACAUCAAUAGUAACAAGCAACCAAUAUGUCUGUUAAGCAGAUCAGCGGAGCGGUGAAAAAAGCUUAACGUGACACCUAUUCCAUCUACAGCAAAAGUUUAAGCAACAGCAACGUUAGCAUCAGGUCCACCGUUUUGCGUGCUUGUAUAUUUCCCGUUGUUGUCAGCGGUCAGUAGGAUGGCGCGCUAGCCACGACGACACUCAAAGGUAACACGAAGGCUAACCUUACCCUUUGGCUUCGUGGUUUGCUGUCGUGUUCUUGCACUUAAUGAGAACUCACUUCUCCAUCAUUAACACAAUCACUUCUCUACCACAGUGUUACGCCUUUGGCGUUGCCGGCCUUCGUUUAAGCAGAUGAGAACAUGUAAAGGUGAAAACUCUUUGGUCCUAUGAUCACGAACAUCUUUGUUUGGUUCUAUCUGAAAGGACAUGCAUGCCUCUGGAAAACACAAGGAUCGUCACUGUCUUGAAAUUUGAUGAACACCAUCGGUGUACUGGUGCCGAUGUUAACAAGGCGACGUAGAAUGACGAUAUUACUCGUCGCUAUUAAACGGUACAAUGUUAGACGAGUAAGAAGUGCAAGCAAAAACAAUAUCGGGAAAUUCCAAUUGCAAUCCUAUAUAUUACCUAGUUAACCUCCAGCUUUCUUGAGUGUAGCACGACGUGUGCAGUAAUUGUUACUUGCAUUGUAGUAGCUUCGGUACCAAUUAGUUUUCACUUUGUUUCAUUUCCUCCUUUUUCUUGUUCGGUUUUUUCUCGUAAAAUUGUUUUUGUCUAUUCCUGACCCUCCAAGAGAACCUACACGCCACCGCUUUCCUUCGACAUUCACCUGAACGUGCAGCGAUCUCCCCUUCGAGCACACCGGGCCAAACCGACGUAGUUAAGGGUUUCUUAAUGGUAUUUUUACCGAGUAAGUCGAUCCGAGUUUGGCUAUGUCGUGCUACAACGCAGCGCUGUAAAACGCAACGCCUAUAAACCCGAACGAGCGAAGCCUCUAGAACUGAUUGCAUAGAACAUUGUGUAACAAACAUAAAUGUUAAACUUAAUGAUAUAAUAGGAUAGAAUACAACGCACAUUCAUACGAUCGGAAUGUGGUGAAUAUACUAUAAAUAAGGACCUUAUAUACAACAGCAUCACCGACAAUAACUACAACAAACAGCAAGCAUUCAUAUGAGUAAUAUCUAGAUUAUCGAGAUCGUGGCGGAUCCGGAUCGAGCAACUGUUUGACUAAGGGAUAUUCUAGUAAUUAUGGCUAAUUGAUUUAUCAAUUUAUUAAUGGGGUCUACUCUCAGCUUAUGAUGAUGAUGAUAAGGGUAUUUUCCCAUCCCUCAUUCAUACCUCGUCAAGUGAGCAUCCUUCUUUUUCUCCCCUCCCUUUGUUAUAUAUAUAUAUAUAUAUAUAUUAGUCAAUAAUUAAAUAGUGACUGAGAGCAAUUUCAACACUUACGAGACGAAAAGAACACAACAGCGAGUUGAAUAUGAAUACAGCCAGUCCAUCACAGCAGAGAGGGACACACACAAAUACAUAGACACAUGCAACGAACAAACCGAUUUCUACAAAAAUUGCUGCUACGACAUCGCAAAUACGAGCGAUUCGCGUAUAUAAUAGAGACAACAACAGCAGCAGCAACAAUGAUGAUAAAUGUAUUAAAUGAUCAUAUGGUAAUAACAGUAAUACAAUCAUACAACUAGUGGCAAUUAGAUAAUGACUCAGCAGCUGAUUGGGCGGGAGGGGCGUAACUAAUAAGCGGAACGCAGUGGGCGCAAGAUGCACCUCUAAUACCGCUUUGCACUCCACUCUGUCUAUUUAACGCUGGUGAGUUAAAUUAUACCGGUGUAUAAAAGAAAGGAAAGGUUAUUAGAGCAGGUGUUCUUAUCGUUAAUAUCGCAAAAUACUACAGGAGUUCGCCACCAAAUCGUACGAUUACUGCAGUACGUACAUCGAAUGUGGUGUCGCGUUUAUCACCUGCGUACAUUAAGACAGACGGGCAGGCCAGAAGCAGAAACAUAUUGUUAUAUUACACAGUUUAAUUAAGAAUCGGUAAUUACAAGGAAUACGUUUUCUUUGAAAUUUUUAGCGCAGACUUUAUCGUACGCCUCAGGCUAAGCAAUUUUUCCGUCAUUACUUAAAAAAAAAAAUAAAAAAUUAAUUCGAUGAAAGCAGAGAUUUAUACGGCCGUCAGAUAUGCUGCUUGCUAAGGUUUGGGGGCUGGUCUUCCGCCAACCUCCUCGAUUGUGAGCCCCACAAUAAGCUACGUGGUUUUAUUCUGCGCGUACGAUUGUUAGUCUACUUCUAAUAGCAAAAAAAAAGGUUUACCUUCUUCGCACUACAGCUGCUGCGACCUACCGAGUUUAGAAUAGGAACAAAAUUAAGCCAGACGUUUUGAUUUGGUUGAAAUUACAGUUUGAAUUUUGCAGAAUUAAUUAUUGAAUAUCGGAAUUUUCUACAUAUAAAUUGCCAAGAAUAAUUUCUUAUAUUUUCGGGUUUCUGUUAAUGUGGAGUUGCUGUUUCAGUUUACGAGUCUCGGUUAAUGAUCGCUGGUAUUCUAUAACCAUGUAUCUCCAGUAUAUUCUUUGAUUAGGUGGCGUCAACGGAACUGUUUGUGGGUAUUGGUGUGUACGCCUGUGCUCACUUGUAAUUCCGGUGUUCUUGUGUCAUUUUCGUGUAUUAUAUGUCACGCCUUGUAUUGAAUCAUGUUGGUCUGUUUUCACGCGCAAUAUCUAAUUCGUUAUCGCUGGCGAGUGGAUUGGCAGCUGCGGAGAACGAACCGUCUCUGUAGGUGUUUGUGUGCAUGUGUGUAUAUAUAUAUAUAUACAACAGGCAGAGACUAAUACAUUGUAACACAUCGUACAUUGCAUAUUUCAGUUAAUCGUCGACAUCAACAACCAUGCAAAAAAAAACACGGGCAUCAUUCACUGUUACCCGCCUUACACUAACAAAUGUGACACUAUGGUCGAAACACACAUGUAAAAACAUUAGUGACAAAAAGAAGCAACACGUCUCGAUAAAAACAACAGCUAUAGCCUCCAUAAAAAGGUUCAUUUCCGCUGUAUUCUAGAUAGGGUAUAAACAUUAUUACUAUUAUAACAACGGUAAUUAUUAAUACAUAGAGAAAACUAAUUAAUAACCGCCGAUAUUGAUAUAUAAGUAGUUGAUAUUAUUAUCAGCGAUUAUGAUAA